UCUUCUAAAUAACCUUAAAGGGUCCUCUGCUAAAUGGUGGGGUUUUUACCUGCCUGCCUGCCUGCCUGCCUUCCUUCUUUCUUUCUUUUUUUCUUUUUUUUUUUUUUUUGGACAAAGCCUUACUGUGUAGCCUAGACUGUUCUUGAACCCAGAAUCCUCCUGAUGCUAGAAUUAUAGGAGUGAGGUACCACACCUAGUUAUGUCUCAUGCUCUAUCAUGUAGAUCUUUCUGUUUUUGGAUCCACAAACCUAUCUUCCAAUACUUCCAAGAACUCUUCACAAAGACUGCUGACCAUUAACAGUAGCCUUUACUAGCCCUAUGUUAUUUAGCUUUCUGUUAUUGUGAAGAAAAAAAAAAUAACCAAGAAAAGCAACUUUAAAAAGAGGAAAGGAGUUUAUUUUGGCUACCUUUUCCGCCCAGUCACUUGAGCCCGUAGCAAAGCAGAACAUCAUGGUAGAACACAUGAUGACACAGAGCUGGCUUUACCUAGAGUUAGCCAAGUAAAGGACAGAUGGGAGUAGAGUGAGGGAAGGGGAGGAAAGAGGACAUACUGUGAACAGGCCAAGGAAUUAGGACUGUAGGCUCUAUUCAGUGUCAUGCUCUGCCUUAGUGUGAUCUUUAUAGCCCUCCUUAAAGACAUGUGGAAAGGACUCGCUCUAAUUGUUUGCUGGAAUUAUAGCCAGGUAGGACAAUUACAGUACUAUUUCAGCUCCGCUCCAGUGACCACCUCUCUAGAACUGAUGCUUGGGCCUGGGACCCUCUUUUUCUCCCCUCCCCUACUCUCAGUCCUUAGGAGAGUUUCUCUCUGGCCAUCUUGUCAGCACCUUCAUUAAACACAUUUUUUUUUUAAAGAUUGAUAUUUACUUAUGUAUUUAUAUUAUUUAUAUGAGUGUUUUGCAUCUGUAUAUGUGUUUUGAACCCUGCAGCUCCUGUCUUUGACAGUGUGGUCUUUUCUUUGUAGCUGUUAGCCAGAAACCUCUUUUGUUAAGUCUUUUGAAAGUAUACUAGAUAUUUAAAUAUAUGCCUGCCUACAAACCUCCAAUCCCUUAGAGACUGGAGCCUGUAUACCCCUAUUUUCUAUAACUUAUACUUGUUUUGAAAGAGUUGGGUAUCUUUGGAGGGAGCUGAGUGACCAGAGCAGAAUAAGACAUCUGUCUUUUCAUUGUACAUGUUAUUUUUAGCUCUAUACCACAUAUAUACUGAUAUCCUAUGUAUUUAUGGGGUUUACAAGGGAAGAAAAUGUGUAGCAGAGUAGGCUUGGCUCUAGAAUUCUAGCCCUUUCUCUGAGAUCCUCUUCCAUGUGUACUGGCCUGCUUCUGUGUGGGUCCUGCCUGCUUUCAGGAGCUGGCCAGACUGUUCAGUAUUAAUUAUGCCAAGGAAAUGAACCAGUUAGACACAGUCUAUAGAGCGCCAAGAGUCAGUCAGAAGGUCUGAGGGACUUACUACUCAAUGGACGG
rnacentral:lncRNA from 1 species